rnacentral:lncRNA from 1 species
AGCUGGGGACAGGACCCAGGGCCUUGCGCUUCCUAGGCAAGCGCUCUACCACUGAGCUAAAUCCCCAACCCCAAGCCAGCGUUCUUAACAGCUGGAGCCACCUCAGCAGCCCCUUGUUUUACUACGUGAAACAACGGUCCAGGAUGGGUUGGAACUUACUGUGUAGCUGAAGAUGGCCUUGAGCUUCUCAUCCUCCUGCCUGCUGGGAUUACAAGAGGGUACCCGUUUUAUACAGUUUUGGGGAUCAGCCUUAGUAUGUGCUCUACCAACCCAGCUACAUCUUCACCACUCUCCUUUAUUAUUGUUGCUACUGUUAUGGUUGUUUAUUUAUUUAAGGAAACCUUUUCUGAGUUUUCCCAGGCUGGUCUUGAACUCCUCAUCCUCUUGCCUCCCAAGUGCUGAAUAGCCCUUGCUACCAGACCCGGCUUGUACAUUUAUUUCGUAAUGUUAUCCUUCUUAAUUUCUGUCUUGGGUUCUGUUGUUAGUGGUGGCUUUAGAUUUAGUCUCACUAUGUUCCCCAGAUCUUGCAAGGAACUGGCUGAAUAGCUCAGGAUUGCCUACAGAAAACAGAGGGACUUCACAGAUGACACAGUAGGGAGAAAAAUGACCAGCGCUAAUAUGACUUGGGUUCCUGGUUGCCUGGGAUGCCUGUGGCCCUGUUGCUUCAAAGCACCGGCCUCCUCAUCUGAAGACAGGCACUGAGGGAUCUCAGAUACCAACCGCACCAGAUCAGUCAUGGGGGCCUUGGUUCCAUCUCCGUCAUGGAAAUAACCAGGAGAAUGAAGCCAGGGCUUGCAAGGAGUAAGCUGAUCUUUGGGAGCCUCUCUUCCACUCUCUGGGACCUUCAGCCCCCCCAGGCUACCCCAAUAACCUGCCCUACCUACCUGUGGGUGUCCUGACACUUUCCCUCCUUCUAACUUCUAACAGGGGCUCCCGAGGCCCCUGCUGCUGUUCCCUGGCUGUUUAAAGUGUUACCUCUUCUAGAAAAGUGAGGAUUCCUGGG